rnacentral:misc_RNA from 1 species
GGGAAGAAAAAGAAGAAGAAAAAGGCAAGGAGAAACAACCCGAGGAGAGUCAAAGAAAUGAUUCUUUUGAUGGGUUUGAUUCCAAUUUGACCAGUGCAACAUUAGUUUUAGAAAAGCAGAGCAAUUCUUGAGUUCUAGCACUUUUAUUGUAUAGAAAUGGAAAAUAUAAAGUAUUUGUUAUCCGCAGUGAUUUUGUCAUUCAUAAUUAUUUUGUUUGUUUCUAUGAUAGUGAAAUUUUCUACACUGUUAUAAAAU